rnacentral:rRNA from 1 species
GGCCUAUUUCAGAUCGGGCCUUUGAAAGCUCCAGGUUGUGAUGGUUUCCCGGCAAGGUUUUAUCAAAGGAAUUGGGCUGUUUUGAAGGUGGAGAUAGUGACUGCAGUGUAGGAGUUUUUUGUUAUAGGUAUCAUGCCAGAUGGUGUUAACGACAUGACGAUUGUGUUAAUUCCCAAAGUUCCCCACCCUAAGGAACUGAAGGAUUUCCGUCCCAUUAGUCUGUGUAAUGUUGUGUACAAGAUCGUGUCUAAAUGCAUGGUGAAUAGGCUACGACCGCUCCUUUCUGAGCUUAUCUCUGAAAACCAGAGUGCAUUCAUUCCAGGGAGGCUAUCUGAUAAUGCCAUUAUGGCCUUUGAGUGCAUUCAUCAUAUUCAGUCAGUCAAGGAUAACUCACCGGCUUUAUGUGCCUACAAACUUGAUCUGUCGAAGGCGUACGACUGUGUUGAUUGGUUUUUCUUGGAAAGGGCGCUCUCUAAAUGGGGCUUCUCUAAUCAGUGGAUCUCUCGUGUUAUGGCAUGUGUCUCCUCAAUGAAGUAUUCUGUUAAAUUUAAUGGCAAGUUGUUGGAGCCGUUCUCUCCCUCAAGAGGUCUACGCCAAGGUGAUCCAUUACCCUUCCUUUUCCUCUGUGUGGCUGAUGCUCUGUCUAUCCUUCUAAACAAGUCGAUGAGCGAGGAAGGAUUACAAGGGGUCAAGAUCUGUAGAGGUGCCCGUGUCAUCUCACAUCUCCUAUUUGCGGAUGAUUCCCUCCUGUUUUUUCAUGCUUCAGAGCAGCAGGCUCUCUUGGUUAAAGGUGUGUUAAACACGUAUACGACGGUGACUGGACAAUUGAUAAACCCGUCGAAGUGUUCCAUCCUUUUCUCAGAUAACUGUUUGCCAAGUGUGGUUCAGGAGGUUAAAAAUGUUCUGGAGAUUACUCAAGAAGUGUUUGAGCCCAUGUACCUGGGUCUUCCUGUCCCGGAAGGAAGUAUCCACAAAGGUAAUUUUGAAACUAUCCAAGAGCGUUUACGGAAGAAGCUUAUAGAUUGGAGUGAGCAAUAUAUGUCCGCUGGUAAUAAGGAGAUUCUUAUUAAAGCUGUGGCCCACGCCCUUCCUACUUAUGUUAUGAGUGUCUUCAAGCUUCCUGCAUCGGUCUGUGACGAAUUAACACGCAUGAUACGUCAAUACUGGUGGGGAGUGGAGAACGGCAAGAAAAAGAUGGCUUGGAUGAGCUGGGAUAAACUGAGGCUGCCUAAAUCCAUGGGUGGCAUGGGGUUCCGAGACAUGAGGUCCUUCAACCAGGCAUUGCUUGCUAAACAAGCAUGUCGAUUGUUGGACACGCCGGAGUGCCUUUGCGCUCGCCUUCUAAAGGCAAAAUAUUAUCCCUCUGGACAGCUGCUGGAUACGGUUUUCUCGGGCAAUGGUUCAUCAGUUUGGAAAGGUAUCUUGCAUGGCCUUGAUUUGCUUAAGAGAGGUGUAAUUUGGAGAGUGGGGAACGGUGCUGACUGA